GGGGAUGUAGCUCAGUGGCAAUGCGCCUGCCUCACAAGCACAAGGUCCUGAGUUCGAUCCCCGGUACCACCA
rnacentral:tRNA from 1 species